rnacentral:rRNA from 1 species
GACAGAGGGUGCAAACGUUGCUCGGAAUCACUGGGCGUAAAGGGCGUGUAGGCGGGAAGGAAAGUCAGAUGUGAAAUCCCUGGGCUCAACCCAGGAACUGCAUUUGAAACUCCCUUUCUUGAGUGUCGGAGAGGAAAGUGGAAUUCCUGGUGUAGAGGUGAAAUUCGUAGAUAUCAGGAGGAAUACCAGUGGCGAAGGCGGCUUCCUGGCCUGUUCUUGACGCUGAGGCGCGAAAGCUAGGGUAGCAAACGGG